AUCUCCUUAAGACACCUGCCUUGGACGCUUUUCUAUUCCUUUUUCAUAGGCUGUGACAGACGCAGUGUGACCCAGCUUCAGCAAUGCUGAUGAACGUGGCAUUCAGGGAAUGCCAGUGCAGUGGUUAAGAAAGCAACCUGUGUCCUUUCAUGACCUAGAGGAGUAGAUUCACUUCGCCACCUGGACCAGCCAGACUAAUGUGAGAGAGAAACACACUUCUAUGGCCACUAGGAGGAUUAAGUGGAAUAACUGACAUGAAAGUCUCAAGAUGAAUGCUCGGUUCAUAGCAUGAAUUCGCCUGAUGUCUCAGGUGAAUGCUGCAAGAUCUCUAAAUGGGAAGAUUCCUUAUCAACCCUUAUCUUCUCCAGCUUAAAUUGAAGAUGUCCUUGGCAGAGAGGUACUACUCAAACACAGAACACUCUUCAGCAAACAGAAGAUGUGACCUUCUUACACUUUCAGAGAUCAUCCUGGAUUAUCUGGGUGAACCCUAAAUGCCAACACAAGUGUCUAUAGGGACACAGAGGGAAACCUGACACAGAGACAGAGACUGAAGUGAUGUGCCCACAAACAAACAAUGCUGGCAGCCACCAGAAUUGGAAGAGGCAAGGACUCAGUUCUCCUUUAGAGCUGAUAUCUUCAUUCAUGUUCAGUGGAACUGAAUUUGGACCUCUGGCUUCCAGAACUGUAAGAGAAUACAUUUAUGUUG